CCUACGGGCGGCAGCAGUAGGGAAUCUUCCACAAUGGACGAAAGUCUGAUGGAGCAACGCCGCGUGAGUGAAGAAGGGUUUCGGCUCGUAAAGCUCUGUUGGUAGUGAAGAAAGAUAGAGGGAGUAACUGGCCUUGAGUUGACGGUAAUUACGGAGAAAGGCACGGCUAACUACGUGCCAGCAGCCGCGGUAAUACGUAGGUGGCAAGCGUUGUCCGGAUUUAUUGGGCGGAAAGCGAGUGCAGGCGGUUCAAUAAGUCUGAGGUGAAAGCCUUCGGCUCAACCGGAGAAUUGCAGCCGAAACUGUUGAACUUGAUUGCAGAAGCGGAGAGUGGAACUCCAUGUGUAGCGGUG
rnacentral:rRNA from 1 species